UACGAAGGGGGCUAGCGUUGUUCGGAAUUACUGGGCGUAAAGCGCGCGUAGGCGGACUUGUUAGUCAGGGGUGAAAUCCCGGGGCUCAACCUCGGAACUGCCUUUGAUACUGCAGAUCUGGAGUCCGGAAGAGGUGAGUGGAAUUCCUAGUGUAGAGGUGAAAUUCGUAGAUAUUAGGAAGAACACCAGUGGCGAAGGCGGCUCACUGGUCCGGUACUGACGCUGAGGUGCGAAAGCGUGGGGAGCAAACAGG
rnacentral:rRNA from 1 species